rnacentral:rRNA from 1 species
CCAGAGUAGCAUUGGAGGGCAGUCGGUGCCAGCAGCCGCGGUAAUUCCAGCUCCAAUAGCGUAUAUUAAACUUGUUGCAGUUAAAAAGCUCGUAGUUGAAUUUUAGCGUGUUCGAGUUUGCCAUUCGUUUGGCUUUUUCGAGUUCGCUUUUGGGUUUUCCCUUUUUACUUUGAGAAAAUUAGAGUGUUUCAAGCAGACUUUUGUCUUGAAUACUUCAGCAUGGAAUAAUAGAGUAGGACUUUGGUUCUAUUUUGUUGGUUAUUGAACCUUAGUAAUGGUUAAUAGGAACGUUGGGGGCA